GACAUGCAAAUACGAGUUUGGGGCCGCAAAAUGAGAAGACAAAUAUCCUUCGUUUGCUUUAGCCGUACUUCACUUGUCCGUCAAUGCGAGCUUGUCUCGCUCCGUCAAUCUGUCACUCCGGGUGUCAGAAAGCAAGUAAAGCUUCACUUUAGAUCAAAUACAUUUUGAAAAAAGAGGAUUUUUGUUCCGCCAACUUUAAAACCGGUAAAGCCUGACACCUAUUUAAAAAAUAUAUAUAUAUUUUGCGUUAGUUUUGGUGGAUUUCUGUUUUUCUCAAUCCUAGAAUGAUCUCCUCAAAGAAGCAUGUUGAGAUUUGGAUUAUUUUGUGAUUCAAUGAACGCUAAAGCCUCAUUUGAAAAUGACUCUCAAGAGUUCAUAUUGUGACUCAUAACGCUUCAAUGAGAGAUGAUUCUCCAAGAGGCUUUUGUCACCUCGUGUUUGAUUGGUGUUCCCAUGGUGCUGUGUGUGUACGGCAUUCCAAGGUUUAGUCCUGCUCUCCUCUCAUUAACAUCCCAUCUGUCAAAUGUCAUCCUACUACGCUGCCACCCUGUCAUUAAGCUCAGAGUGGGGAUGGGGGGGCAUUGACGGACAAGUGAACUCUCACUCAUCACCGUCUUAUCCGAGGUUAGCAAAGUAAAAGUGAUAUUUUGCAAUGAGACGUGGAUAUUGAAAUCACACUAGAACACAACUAGAAUGCAGCUUGGCCAACUUGUGGUGAAUAUGAAGUGCCGCUUGCUUGUUCAUGUGUUCUUUAUGCGACUGAGUCGACUUCAGCCCGCAGAGUUGACAAAGAGCAAAACCAUGUGCUGGAAAGCGAUUCCACACCUUCACGGCUUUUUUUCCCACUGAACCCAAUUUGAUCAAAAUGAGGCCGGUAAAGAAAGGCCCAGUUUGUUGUGAGAGUUUGUGCUGACACGCACAAGGUCAAGCCUAUCUUUGGCUUUCUCCCAAACAAACACACACACACACAGGGAGGGCCAGGGCCACCUGGUCUCCCUCUCUGGGUCCUCAGUCGCAAGCAAAUGACACACGGCAGGUCUCGCACGCCCCAAUCGGACAAAAACAGCGAGUGUGUGUCCACGUGCCACAAUGUCACUAAACUGUGAGACGAUGCGGAUCCAAACAGAGGAAGCUUAGAAUAAAGCGACGGUUUGCGUCUGCCACCCUGGGAGAAACCGCUCUGUCAUGUCUACUACCUUACAACAGACGGAUUUUGUUUCUUUAAUACUUUGCUGUGUUGAAAACUUUGGAGAGAACUCCAGCGCACCGCUGAGCUAACCUCGUCUUAAAGUUCAGUCCACAACAGGCGUCCUGCCUCCCUCCCCGUCUCCCUCCCCGCCUCCCUCUAAACAUCUGCAAAUGCAUACGGCCAUUCAAAGCAUCCCGCAGCCAGGGGUGCUGUUGCUUUUCUCUCUUUCUUUUUCUUUCUCCAUUGCACUACUUGGAAGAAAAACAGCAGCGCCCGUCUUGGCACCGCUACGAACAUACGGAAUUUGGGUCGGUGCAUAUGUGUGCUGGACGGACGGACGGACGGGAGAGAUGGAAGACUAAAGUGAUCCCUGUGGAUGUGGAAUGUUCUCUGUUGGCUUUAAUAACUAAUCUCACAAGACUGAAGCCUUUAUAUGACAAGGCCAACACAGAUGAUAAUGAUAAGGCUAGUGUACAUGACCCCUGUGGUUUUUCAAAUGAUAAGCUUUCUUCAGGACCCACGUUUGACUUCACAUUUGGCAAGACCAUGCAGAGAAGAAAGUGAACAAAUAACAUGCAUGAAAAUAGCUCUACUAAAUCUUUGAAGCAACACAACAUGAUUAUAU